UACGGGGGGGUGCGAGCGUUGUCCGGAAUCACUGGGCGUAAAGGGCGCGUAGGUGGCCUGAUAAGGGGUGUGGUGAAAAGUCCGGGGGCUCAACCCCCGGAUCGCCGUGCCGACUGUUAGGCUAGAGUACUGUAGGGGGCAGGCGGAAUUCCGGGGUGUAGCGGUGGAAUGCGUAGAGAUCCGGAGGAACACCGACGGCGCAGGCAGCGCCCCUGGCUGUGAUAGCUGACACUGAGGCACGAAAAGCUGGGGGAGCAAACAGG
rnacentral:rRNA from 1 species